rnacentral:rRNA from 1 species
UACGUAGGGUGCAAGCGUUAAUCGGAAUUACUGGGCGUAAAGCGUGCGCAGGCGGUUAUAUAAGUCAGAUGUGAAAUCCCCGGGCUCAACCUGGGAAUUGCGCUUGUUACUGGCAGACUUGAGUGUGGCAGAGGGGGGUGGAAUUCCAAGUGUAGCAGUGAAAUGCGUAGAUAUUUGGAGGAACACCGAUGGCGAAGGCAGCCCCCUGGGUUAACACUGACGCUCAUGCACGAAAGCGUGGGGAGCAAACAGG